UGGACGCGAUUACCCCGGCCUGGGGCGGCGCGUGCGGGGGCGGGGCGCACCUUCCCCGCCGGCGGCUGCAGAUUGGCUCCAGGGGCGAGGCUGGACUUCUUCGCGACUCGGGCUGGCCUUGCUGGGCUGCGAGGUUCUGGCCUGUGACUUGGCCGGCGCAGGUGACCUGACGGCGGUCACUUCCUGGGAGCCAGCUGCACCCACCCGCGCUCAGGCUGAGCUGGGCUAACAGAU
rnacentral:lncRNA from 1 species